UACCGCGUGUGUGAAGAAGGCCUUAGGGUUGUAAAGCACUUUCAAUUGGGAGGAAAACCUACCGGUCAAUACCCGGUAGCUUGACAUUACCUUUAGAAGAAGCACCGGCUAACUCCGUGCCAGCAGCCGCGGUAAUACGGAGGGUGCGAGCGUUAAUCGGAAUUACUGGGCGUAAAGCGUGCGUAGGCGGUUCGUUAAGUCAGAUGUGAAAGCCCUGGGCUCAACCUGGGAACUGCAUUUGAAACUGGCGGACUAGAGUUUAGUAGAGGGGAGUGGAAUUUCAGGUGUAGCGGUGAAAUGCGUAGAUAUCUGAAGGAACACCAGUGGCGAAGGCGACUCCCUGGACUAGAACUGACGCUGAGGUACGAAAGCGUGGGUAGCAAACAGGAUUAGAUACCCUGGUAGUCCACGCCGUAAACGAUGUCAACUAGCCGUUGGGCCUAUAUACAGGUUUAGUGGCGCAGCUAACGCAUUAAGUUGACCGCCUGGGGAGUACGGCCGCAAGGUUAAAACUCAAAUGAAUUGACGGGGGCCCGCACAAGCGGUGGAGCAUGUGGUUUAAUUCGAUGCAACGCGAAGAACCUUACCUACCCUUGACAUCCAGAGAAUCUGUUAGAGAUAGUAGA
rnacentral:rRNA from 1 species